GCGGGAGUAGUUCAAUGGUAGAACUUCAGCCUUCCAAGCUGACUGUGCGGGUUCGAUUCCCGUCUCCCGCUCCA
rnacentral:tRNA from 1 species